CCAUUCAUCACUCCAAUGAAGUCAUUGGAUUUGCGACCAAGCUCUUCUUCCACGAUGUCCAUGGAAAUAAAACUGACUGGAAGAUGAUAGAGUACAAAUGUCAUCCCUCUCAAAUUCCUACUAACACUAGCAAUAAGAGUUACAUAGCUUGCAAAGUCAAGUUAGGUAUAAAGGAGGAGAAGAAGUGUUUGGUGGAAGAAAUAUCAGAAGGUGAAAAUGACAUCAAUGGAAGCAAUAGCAGGGCGAAAAAUAUAUAACUAGACCUUUUAUUUUAUAUUUUUACUAUUUUGAGUUGGAGUUACUAGGGUAUCGAUUGUUGACGAUUUGACCUCACCCUUCU